AUAUCAUCCAUUUUCUUUGAUUUAUCGGGUCCUAAAUCACAUCAUAUAUAAUUCACAUUUUUAAAUUGUAUAGUUUGUAUGUUUAUUGAUAUGUUUAUUGAUUGAGGUUCAGUCCUUGGUCCCCUACUCUUCUCCAUCUAUACUGCCUCCCUUGGUAAACUCAUUAGCUCCUUUGGCUUCCAAUAUCAUUUCUAGGCAGAUGACACGCAAAUCUACCUGCCCUCUCCUGAUCUCUCCCCGUCCCUCUUGACUAGUGUCUCUGACUGCCUCUCUGCUAUUUCUAACUGGAUGGCUGCCCACAUCCUUAAACUAAACUUGACCAAAACUGAAAUUCUGGUCUUUCCUCCCUCAAGUGUUGUUACUACUGUGUCUGUCUCCCUCCAAGUCAACUGUGCUACCAUCAGCUUCACCACGCAGGCUCGCUGCCUAGGUGUUUUCUCUGACUCCGACCUCUCCUUCAAGCCUCAUGUUCAGUCUAUCGCCUGUCGUUUCCAUCUCAAAAACAUUGCGCGCACCCGCCCCUACUUAACACCAGAUGCGACUAAGGUGCUGGUCCAUUCCACUGUCUUUGCUCGCCUUGACUACUGUAAUCUGCUUCUCAGUGGUCCAACUUGCGCCAUUACAGUCCAUAAUGAAUGUGGGGGCGAGGCUCAUCUUCCUGUCCGCACGCACCUCCCACGCCUCACCCUUCUGUCAGUCUCUACAUUGGCCUCCUAUAAGAUAAAGGGCUCAAUUUAAAAUUCUGUUUUUUGCUUUCAAAUCUCUACAUAAUGCUGCUCCCACCUACCUAUCCUCCCUAAUACACAAGUAUGUCCCGUCUAGGCCCUUACGAUCUUAGACUUACGUCUAUCUUCUGUCCGUACUCCCACCUGUGAUAGACAGUAAACUGUGGAUUUUAUGGAAUCCAAAGUGAAUUAUAGUAAAUUAAAAAUUUGGCCAAAAUAGCCAAAGUGAAAGCAUAGAUUACUUAAAGCAGCUCUAUGACUUUGCAGGUUUUGCUUUUAAAUGUAUCUGUUUCUGUCUGUCUUUGAUUUUAUUUAUUUAAUAAAUUCACCCUACUUUAUAGAUGCAGAUAAAAAGACUACUUUUUCUAAUGGGGUGGAUGCAUGAUCUUUGUUUAAGCCCUGCCCGUUGCAAACAAUCGCCAAAGUUCCAUUUCAUUUGCUCAGCCAAACUACCUACAUUCAGGGCCGUCUUUAACGCGGGACAAACAGGGCAGGUGCCCCGGGCCCAGUUACUCUUGGGGAGACCAAAGGGGCCGCCACAUUUGUCCUCUGCCCACAACAAUUUAUUUUAGGAUCACCGAUCCUUAAAUAAAUUGUUGUGGGCAGCGGGCCUGCACACUAAGGGGGCCCAUCGGGUGGCCCAUGCAGUUAGGGCCAUCCCGUGGGCAUUUGUAAGCAGGGGCCCUGUGGCCCUUUAACAGCCGACCGGGCCCCUUGAUUUUCGGCAGUAUGUGGGAGGAAGUGACGGUCACUUCCUCCCAGCUGGGGCAGAGCCGCACGGGAGGGAGAACCCUGAAGAAGCAGUGCGGAGGGGUCCAGGCCGGGAGAGUUGGACCCCAACUCCUAGCCACCGCAGCCAGCACACUGGACCCCUGUGAAGCCACCCUCCAGCAAAAGGUAAGAAUCUGGAGGGUGGCUUUCAAAGUGUAGAUUUUGCCUGUGUGUCUGAGUGUGUGUGUGUCAGUAUCCCUAUCAGUGUAUGUGUGACUGCCUGUGUGCGUGUCAGAAUAUUUGUUAGUAUGUGUGUCUGUGUGCCUGAGUGUGUGUCAGUAUGUCUGUCAGUGUCUGUAUGUAUGUGUUAGUGUGUCAGUAUGUCUGUCAGUGUAUGUUUUUAUAUGUGUGUGUCAGUAUGUGUGUCUGUGUGAGUGUCAGUGUCUGUAUGAGUGUGUGUGUCAGUAUGCCUGUGAGGGUGUCUGUCAGUGUAUGUGUCUGUGUGUGUGUCAGUAUAUGUGCCAGUGUGUCAGCAUGUCUGUUAGUAUGUGUCUGUGUAUCUGUAUGUUAUCAGUGUG
rnacentral:lncRNA from 1 species